GACGAACGCUGGCGGCGUGCUUAACACAUGCAAGUCGAGCGGUAAGGCCCCUUCGGGGGUACACGAGCGGCGAACGGGUGAGUAACACGUGGGUGACCUGCCCUCAGCUCUGGGAUAAGCCUGGGAAACUGGGUCUAAUACCGGAUAUGACUCCAUGACGCAUGUCGUGGGGUGGAAAGCCUUGUGCGGCUGGGGGAUGGGCCCGCGGCCUAUCAGCUUGUUGGUGGGGUGAUGGCCUACCAAGGCGACGACGGGUAGCCGGCCUGAGAGGGCGACCGGCCACACUGGGACUGAGACACGGCCCAGACUCCUACGGGAGGCAGCAGUGGGGAAUCUUGCGCAAUGGGCGAAAGUCUGACGCAGCGACGCCGCGUGAGGGAUGACGGCCUGGUU
rnacentral:rRNA from 1 species